AGUGAACGCUGGCGGUAGGCCUAACACAUGCAAGUCGAACGGCAGCACAGUAAGAGCUUGCUCUUACGGGUGGCGAGUGGCGGACGGGUGAGGCAUACAUCGGAAUCUACUUUUUCGUGGGGGAUAACGUAGGGAAACUUACGCUAAUACCGCAUACGACCUACGGGUGAAAGCAGGGGAUCUUCGGACCUUGCGCGAUUGAAUGAGCCGAUGUCGGAUUAGCUAGUUGGCGGGGUAAAGGCCCACCAAGGCGACGAUCCGUAGCUGGUCUGAGAGGAUGAUCAGCCACACUGGAACUGAGACACGGUCCAGACUCCUACGGGAGGCAGCAGUGGGGAAUAUUGGACAAUGGGCGAAAGCCUGAUCCAGCCAUACCGCGUGAGUGAAGAAGGCCUUCGGGUUGUAAAGCCCUUUUGUUGGGAAAGAAAAGCAGCAGGUUAAUACCCCGCUGUUCUGACGGUACCCAAAGAAUAAGCACCGGCUAACUUCGUG
rnacentral:rRNA from 1 species